AUUCCAGCUCCAGUAGCGUAUAUUAAAGUUGUUGCAGUUAAAAAGCUCGUAGUUGGAUUUCUGGUACGGCGCGUUUGGCCGACACCCGUUAGGGUGUUCUGUGCCGUGCGCGCCUGCCAUCUUUCUAGAAAACCUCUCUACCCUUCACUGGGCCGGAUUGGCAGAUCUAGAACUUUUACUUUGAAAAAAUUAGAGUGUUUAAAGCAGGCUUGUGCUAUGAAUACAUUAGCAUGGAAUAAUAAUUUAGGACUUUGGUCCUAUUUUGUUGGUUUCUAGGACCGAAGUAAUGAUUGAUAGGGAUAGUUGGGGGUGCUAGUAUUCAGCGGCUAGAGGUGAAAUUCUCGGAUUUGCAAAAGACUAACUUAUGCGAAAGCAUUUGCCAAGGAUGUUUUCAUUA
rnacentral:rRNA from 1 species